UGUCAAACAGAAACUAGAGUCAUAGAGGAGAAAUAGCUACUGAUGGAGAUACUGCCCAGGGCAGACGGGAAAGGAGAAAUUACCCUAGCUUCUUCCACCUGCUCGCCAUUCUUUUGUCAGUGCCUCCCAGUGGACAAACCUAGUUGGAAUCCAGUUGGCAAGGCAGCCAGGAUAUGGAGUUGCCUAUAAUACAGAGAGGAGAAGAUGGAGGAAUAGAUCCGAGAGCAAGCAGGCAAAUGACCAGCAUAGGAUUUAAGCUUAAAAUGAUUUUAUUUCUCUGUCAUAAUUACUUUCAAUCAUAAUCUGUUGAAUCUCCCUUUCCUGAUCAAUAAAGGAUACCUUAACAGCAUCUUGGGCCGAGUCCCCUAAUUUACUGCAGAAAGAUCUGGCAGAUAGUAUCUUCACCGAGUGAAAAAAGUUAACAUCGUCUGUAAUACAACAGAUCAUCAUCAUGUGCAUAUUCUCACUUCUGUGGUAUUCCUGGAAAAAAAAAAUCAUUAUGUUAAUCUAAUCCUGAGGAAGAAUCAGACAAAUCUAAAUUUAGGGACAUUCUACAAAAUAACUGGCUUGGACGCUUCAAAAUUAUGAAGGGCUUGAAGGGCAAGGAAAGACCGAAGAACUGUCCCGAGUUGAAAUGAACUGAAAAGAAAUGAUGACUGAACACAGCAUAUGAUUCUGGUUUGGAUUCUCAACCUGUAAAGAACGUUCUCGUAAAAAUAGAGGAAAAACUAUGCAGGCUGGGGUUUGGGCCUAAGGAAGAAAGCACCGAGGGGACCACUCAGCCUGACUCACAUGUUCUAAGCCAUAGAGCCUG
rnacentral:lncRNA from 1 species